GAAGUGGGUGGGCCAGGAGCUCGGCCUGCUGCUAGGUUUCUGUGUGUGACUAGCGAGUCUCCUCUGUGUUGGUAGUCUGAGCUGAGUUUUUCCCACUCUGGAGGUGGACCCUGGACCCUGUGCAUGUGGGGCGCACUCUGCUGUGAGCCAUUUCGCAGCCCUGAGCUGACUCUACGCAGCUGCAAGCUGAGAAGCCGAGUCCACUGGUCCGCUUCUCUUUUUCCCUUGGUCACUUCAGCGGUGUGUGCAGCCAAGACAGAGGUACAGCCUCGAAGACCCCGCUGCUGGGCGAGGAGUCCCGGGAGAACGGCACACAAGGGAGAGAGAAGGGAGCCGCCAUGACGGACAGGGAGAGGAAAUCCUGACAGAGCCAUCCACGGUGAGAGGCAGGGUGUGGGGGCAGAGGGAGUGUGUGGAGAGCACAGUGGCUGCCACCAGGGGCUGCCUGGAGGGAGGGAACUGUUGGGGGAGGGAGCCUGACCCCAAGCCUUCAGGGACCCCACACAGAUGUCACAGGGAUGUCUCCUGCCUCCAGCCUUGGGUCCAGUGUGCAGCGCGGGUGGAGGAGGGAGGCUGAAGGCCUGCUGGGAGGGAGCACUCCAGUCUCAGCUUUCUCAUUUGGAGGAUGAAAAGACCAAGGUCACAGCACAGGUGACUGGUAUCUUCCAACAAUGUUCGUGCUGCGUAAGCGACAACGACAGAGGUGAAAAGCACCCUGGCUGGAGUCGGCCAGCAGUCAGACGGGAUCCUGAAGCUCAAAAACCUCAAAUCAGUGUGUGUGCUCUGGAGAGAUCAAGGAGGUCUUCCAGAGGAGGCAGCACUAGACUUCCCAGGCAAAGCCAGGAGGUAUACAAACAGCCUGUGCAAAGGCCCUGGGGCAGGCAGCAGUGUGUGUCCACAAAGCCUGAUGGGAACAAACCUAGACAACAAGUUUAUACAGUUCAGUGGGGAAAUGAGACCCAGAGACACCAAGCAACCCACCCCAGAACACACAACCCAAAAGCAGCGGAGGUGGGACUUGACCCUACAUACCCCAUCAGUCCUUCAUGAGAGUCAGUCAACAGCUUGGUCCAAAGAGAUGCUAGUCUGCUUGAAGAACAGUUGGAGAUGUAACUGGCAACAGGGUCCUGUAGCAUCUAGGGAGCUCAGGGUGUUGGACAGUGCCCACUGUCCCCAGGGUACCCUCAUGGAGGGUGAAACCCGGGCAACCAGCAUGACACAGAGUCCGAGUGCUGAUGCAAGAGAGCUCAGGGGACAUGGAGGCUGGAGGAUGUUAGGUCUGCAGAGAUCUUAUCUGGAGUUUGAACCCGGAGGUAGGACUAGAGAGAGUCUAGGCAAGGGAUGGCCAGGGAGAACUUGGGGUGCAGGAGGAACUCUCUGGCCACAGUGUGAACUGGAUUCUGGGGGUGUCAGCAUGGUAUAUGAGAGCAGCAGCUUUUGCUUGGUGGCAGAGUGGGGAGUCAGGGUCAGCCUCCAUAGCGGGUGACUGCUGGGCCAAGAUGGAGGCAGCCCCCUGGCGUGAUGAGGGCUGAGAUGAGGGUGGCAACUGGUUGAAGUGGAGGUGUCAGGCAGGAUUUGGGGUACAGAGCAGGGACAACGGAGGCUUUACCAGGGCAGGACAACAUCACUGACUCGGCUCUGAGGCGCCCCCUGACCACGUGAAGCAUGGGUCCAAGUAGGGUAGGAACGAGGAGACAAGGAGUUGGAAGGGGUGCAGGAUGAGGUGGGGACUACAGGAUGGGGUUGGCUGCAGGCCUGGUGGCCUGAUGGCCUGGUGGCCUGGUGGUGUAGCUCAGUGGAGACAGAGCUCUGGAGAGCCUCUCAGAGACUGCAGUUCCCUUGGUCCUGCGUCCCCAAGUUCUUUCUUCUCCACUGCUGCUCCCAGAUCCUUCAGCGAGCGUCUCUGACAUCAAAUGCUCCCACCACGGUUCUGCCCGGACACACCUGUCAGGGGCGACAGGACGACAGCCAUCUUCUAUAGGCUGCAGCCCGGGAUGCCUAGAGGUCAGAAGAGGACAAAGACACAAACAUUCUGAGACGCCGCCACUUCCUGCAGCGUGGGCAGCCCUGCCCAGCAGGCCUGGGUUCAGGUCCAGCUCCAGGGCUGGCUGCUCAGGGCUCCUGUGCAGGCUGCGGAGCCACACCUCUCUCGGGAGGCGGGGACUCAGGAAGAGCGGCUGUAGGAAGGACCCUGGGGAGCUGGAGCUCUCAGUCCACAGGAAGCCCUGUUGCCCCCCCAGAGCAUCACCACCCACACACCCAGCUCCCAGAGGGUGGCUGUGUGCAGGUCCCACACAAUGACAGCCUGAGACACAUCGCGGUCUCUGUCUCUGGUGUGGAAGGAGGCUCUGGCUGAAGCAGACAGUGCACCCAUCUCACAGAGGCUGGCCCCUGGGAGCCCAGCCUGCUGGUUCCAGGAAUGGGUGACCUCUAUGUAACUGUAUAUUGCGACAUGGGUGUGUGGGCUCACGUGGAUCCGUCGAAAGAAGAUUCAGAGGCACCUUAAGAAUGUAUUUAGCUUUUUGACGGCUGCAGGCUCAGUCUUCUCCAUGCAAGGAUAGCAUCCUGCCCUGAGACCCCACACUCCCCUGGCAGAGCCCAGGGCUGUCCUGAACCAGGCAGGGGGCCACGAUCACCUACAGACCCUCCGUGGACUGUCCCCACUCCACAGAGGCCAGGCAGGAUAGGACACAGAGCCAAGGCUGGCGGUCCUCAGCAUCCCGUGUUGGCCAGGGAAGAGGACUGAUGGCAGCAGCCCCCUGAGCAUCUGUCACAUAACGAAGUGAGAACAAAGAAUGCUGUUUGUCAUUUAACAGGCAAAGCAGGACAGCAGCGCCUGCCUCCGCAGCAGCUGGGAUGGCUCAGGAAGGCGAUGCUGGCCUGAGGUCGGUUCUGCAGGGGGACAGGAGGGGAGUCUGGAGGACAAGGCUGCACUCCGGCUGCCUGUGGUGGGGCUGGACCUUGCCUUCCUGCCAGCAGCAGUAGGCCUUGUUCACUCCAACCUCAGGAUCUUCGCAUCGAUGGCUCUUCCAGGCUGGACUGCGUGCCCCACACUUAGGUCUCCCUGCAGGCCCUCCACCUCACCUUGGGCGGUCACAGCCCAGAUGUCUCCUGUCCCCCAUCACCGUUGGGUCUCUGCUGCAGUCUCUCCACAGUAGGCCAUCACUUAUGUGGGACCAGACACUGGAAAGAGGUCUCUCAGAGGUGGAACGUUAACCCCCAUCCCAAAAUCCUAAACAUACAGUAGGCUCUCAACACACAAAUGUGAUGUCAUCUAUGAGUCAUUUUGUCUCUUUUUAGCCCACCUCUCUCCUUGUUCCAUAGCUGAAAGGCCAUUUCACCGAAGAGGAAAGCUGAGGCAGUGUAGACGUCGCCCCUUUACCAGCCUCCAACUCAAGACACCUGCAUGGACAGCCUGAAUCUUACCUUCCAGUCACAGAGUCGAGCUGCAUGGCCAGAUGCCUCGGCACAAAUCUAGGCUCUCACUGGCUGGGGACCCCCAGUGAGCAGGAGGCUAAGGCAGGAGGAUUGCCAGUUUGAGGCUAACCUAGCCUACAGAGUGAAACCCUAUCUCAAACACAAUCAGCUGGAACCUGGGGAGACGGCCCAGUGGGUGAAGUGGUCACCCCACAGCGUGAGGACCCGAGUUCAACCCGUAAAUCCAUGUAAAAAUCCAAGGACAGCGGCAUACCCCUGUAAUCCCGGUGCUGCCGAGGCCAAGGCAUGGGGAUGCCUGGGGCUCGCCGGCCUGGGGCUCGCCGGUCAGAGACUUUUAUCAGAUCUGUGAGCUCCAGAUUCAGUGAGACCCUGACUCAAAAAUUAAAAUUCGGAGCAAUAGGGAAAGACACUCCAUGUCAGCCUCUAGUCUCUACAUCCCUUCACAUACGCAUGCCCACAUACACACCCCUCCCACAAACACAAAGAACUAAAUAAUGUGGAACUCUAGGGAUGAAGACACUGACAUCAUCCUCCACACACAUGAGCACAUACAUAGGAACAUGUUCACGUGUACACAGGCACACACACAAAUCAAUUUUAUUUUUUAAAACAACAACAACAACAAACCAAAGUGAGUGUCGUUGUCCUUAUUUUACAAGUGAGGAAACUGAGGCAUGGGGAGAUGAUGGCACUGAAGAACAGAACUGAGUCUGAAUCCCAAGUCUAUCCAGACCCAGAGGCCUCCCUGGCAGGGAAUUUGCAGAAACAGGGUGACAGCAGUCUGCCUCCAGCCCGAGACCCAACUCCUGUGGGAGCCUGUCCAGUGGGGGCAGAGCGUGGCUUCCCUACAGCUCCUAGGCUGGGAGACUGUCAUGGCGACAGCAGACCAUAAUAGCUCACAGCCACAGAGCUGUUCCGUACCUCUCGUCAGCUCAGUCUUCCAGAGAUGUGGGAAGCAGAGGUCAUCCAAACACCUGGAUCCAGCUGUGCCUGAAGCAACCCAUCUCUAAGAUGUCUUUAAUGUGACUCACUGAAUUCUUCUUGGCUUGAACUGAUCUGUGUUGGGGUUUGGUCCCUUGUGAGUCGAGUUGGGGAAUCUUGACUAACCCACCUGCCCUCCAGACUUUAUCUAGCCUUCCAUCUCGUCAUCUUUCUGGAGCUGAGGGACACACCCAUUAACUGUCCCAUCCCUGUGCUGACUCACAAGUCCCUAGAGUUUCAGUCCUUCCUUCCCACAUGGGUCUGCCACUUUCCCACACACCCUGCUCGGGACAGAGGGCGUGUGGGUGUGCGUGCCAACGUGUGAGCACGCCCUUGUUCCGGGAAGGUGCCCCGUAGGCUUUGCUUGGCUCCAGAUCAGACCUCGUUAUUAGGUGAUGACAGCUAAUAUAGCCUGUGUCUGCCCCUGAAGCAGGUGGCCGCUUUGCAUGAGCAACGCAGCCAGGCAGGUUUGUGGUCCCCGAGUCCUGAGAGGCCGGCCAAGCCGAGCAGCGGAAGCAGAAACUGCACCCCAAAUCCAAAGUGGCAGGCUCCCCAUUCUGAAGUCAGAAGCAUGUCAACGUGGUUUAUGAUGCAGGCAUUGGAUCACUAGGUACGUGUGUGUGUGUGUGUGUGUGUGUGUGUGUGUGUGUGUGUGUGUGUGUGAAUGACGUGUGACUGGUGUGGGGGAGGUAUGUGGUGGGUGGUAUGGUAUAAGUAUGUGUGAGUAUGUGGGGUGUGUGUAUGUGUGGCAUGUUGUGUUGUAGUAGGUAGGGGGUGAGCAUGGUGUGUGUGCUGUGUUGUAGGUGGUGUGUGUGUGUGUGUGUGCGGUGUGUCAUGUGUGGUAUAUGUGGGGGGUUGCUGCGUGGGUCAAGUCUACACAUAUUUACAAAAUACACCCACAUAGGUAUCCUGUGGGUGUUCACAUGUGUGUAGAUUGUGCACUGCAUUGGAUCACCCACGUGUGCAGAGCCCGGGUGUGGAACAUACAUCUAGAAUACACAUUUGGAAUCAACAGGGACGCAGAGUGCAUGCCAGCUGCGUGGUAGCAUGCGGGUGUGUGGGGGAGGGGCUGAAUGGCACAGGGGCCACGGGUGAGCUUCUGAUUCGGGUGCGUCUCCCUGGGUCCGUGGCUGUGUACCGCAGUCGAUGUGCUGUGAGCACAGUCCUAGUCUCUCCCGAUCCUUGUCCUACAGUCCCCUCUCCUAGAAUGUGGUUUGGGGCAGGGCCUCCUCUUUCCAGGGCCUCCUGUGGCUCCCACCUCACUCAGAUAAAGUAAAGGUCCUCGGGCUGCCCCAUGAGGCCACGCCUGCCCUGGCCCUUCUUUGGACCUUCUCCUAGCCCAUAAUACUCUCCCCUUUCCCUGGCUUCAGUUGUACUGGCCUCUAUGGCUCAGGACAGGCCUGUUGCUGCCUAGAGCCUUUGUACACACUGCUACGUCACCUCCAGCUUCCCAUCCCAGACCCCACACCACUCCAUCGGCUUUCCACUGCACUUGCCUUGGCUCUCGUGGCUUCUCCACACCACUCUGUCAGCUUUCCACUGAAGAUCACUUCCCCAGCAAGCCCUCCCGACCCUUUCAACAUCAUCACUGAGCUUGGGGUUCCUUGGACCUCCAGCAUGUCACCAACCCACUGUCUGCCCCUCCCACAGCCCCCACUCUGAGAGUACACAGUGUGUCUACUUGGUACUGGUCCUGCUCAGCAUACAGUAGGUGCUCAGGCAGUGGCUGGUGAGCAGGACAGACUAGCCAGAGUUCAGGCCCCAGGAUCCCCUGGCCUUGCCUGCCCUCUGGACACUGGUCCCUUCACGGUGCCUGCCUGGCCUCCAGGGAAGGAUCCAUCCUCCCCGGAGCUUUUUUCCCUUCAGGCCCAGGAGCAAGGAGUGGAGGAGGGUGGUCAGGGUUUACAGGCCUGUUCCCAGAGACCUGCCACCUGCCUUGGCUGACAUGGCUUCUCUUCCUCCCCUUGACCCCAGAGAUGAGGUGGGCGAGGGUGGAGAACAGCUCCUACUGUCAGGCACACAGGAUUCCGGAACUUUCUUGGAUGGACCACGAACACCUGCUCUGUUCCCUUCCCACUUGCGGCUGGAAGUUACUAACCGAGCUCUUCCAACUUGCAAUCCGUUGUUUAUUUUCAAAAGGACCAAAAGGGGAAGUGUGGGGUGACGCCCUCCCCCAUCCCAGGAGUUCUCGUCACUGCUGCGUGAUGGCGGAGAGGCUACGCUGAGACCGUCCCCGUGGUCAGUGGGAGCUCAGCGCUGUCCUGGACACACAGUGGUGCAAUCGUGGCCAACGUGUACAUAUCUGAGCAUCGCCACCACCAUGAGAGCACCAGACCUGUGGGGUGGGGCUUGCCAGAGAGAAGCGGAGGCCUCUGUGGUCACAUGCUGCCAAGGGCUGGCCCAGGAUUCAGGGCCAGUACUGACCCCACAUCCCUGUGUGCUAGGGAGUUACAGUGCCCACCGAGGUCCUUUCGACUCCCCCUCAUGUCCCAGUCCGAGGCAGAGUGAGUGUUUUCUCUUUCCUUGCUUUGUUUAUCUGAAACAAGGGCUCGUUCUAUAGUCCAGGCUGCCCAGGACCUCACCAUUCUCCUGCUUCAGCUCCCAAGUGCCACCACCCAGCACGUGGACUCUUUCUUAACCGUGUUGCCUUUGAUCCCAAAAGACCAGAAGUCUGCAGCCUACCCACCUCAGAGAGAACCUGAUCGCCAUCAGCUGGCAGACUGGUUAUUGAUCUAUCCUGAUUGACAAUGAUCUCUCAAUGCCUUCUCCUCUCUGGUGCCCUUCUCCCUGGUAUGGAGAGUACAUCCCUUUGCCCUCAAUUGGAAAUCAGAUGUGACCUCAAAGGCUCCCCCACUUCCCCACCCCAACCCCGUGUUCCUGCAGUGGCUCCCUUUCUCCCUACACAAAGGAGCCAGCUCUCCUAGAAACACCAAGUUCCUGAAUGUUCCUCGGUGUCUUCUCCAAUUGAUGACUGCGGGCAUCUAAUGAGUACACAGGAGGGCUCUGCUGGGGUACAUAAGCAGGGCUGCCUCUGUCUUGGGAGGUAUGGAGACAUUCAAGGUUAUCACAGUCAGGGCGAGCAGUACCACUCACAUCCGGCUGGGUGAGAUCAGGGAUACUGAAGAAGCCAUCUUGGGAGAAAGCCAGGAGUGGCAGCUCUAGAUAUAUGUCCAGAUGCAGAGGCUGAGAAAUCCGGAGGUACGUUCUGGAAGGAAGGCUCCUGACAUAGUGUUCCCAGCAUGCUGAGGAAGAGCUUGCUGCUUUACAGGAUCCUGCAGAGACUGGAAGAGCGCUUCCCUGAGGGGCUCGGCAGAACUGGACUCUGUGCUGGGUUGUAUAUCAGCCAUUGUGAGCCAUGGCCUGGGGCACUCUCAAAUAUCAGGUCUCCGUUUAGAGUCUGUUCAGGCAGCUCAAAGGUGUGCUGUGGGGAUGGCAUCACCUCAGAGAACACUACCAUCUCCAGAGACUGAGUGGGCUGAGACAUGGACUCCAACAAAGACCCUCUCUGGGCCCAGGAACGAAUCUUGCAUCUGUGUGACCACCGGGGGAGGGGAGGUGAUAAAUAAGUGUGACUCAAAGUGUCUGAGAGAAGAAGCAAGCAGAAGGGAGACAGAGUGGGGGGCAGGGUGUGUUUCUGGGAAUAAGGACCAUCCCUUGGCUGGUCACACGGUGCCAAGAUCAUAGCAGGCAGGUGAGAUGGAUCCCAGAUGGCUAUCUGGCCCAGCCAAGGCAUUCACCCCUAAUCAGGAGGAACUGGGGAGCCACCAGCAUUUUAGAGCACAAUGGAGGUGGGGUCUAGGAUGGAGCUCUGACCGGAGUUUGGGAAGAGGAGGCGCCAUCACGGGACAGGUGGGAGGGCAUGGCUAACUGUCCUCUGUCUGCUGAGUCCCUGCAUCUUAAAGUCCCGCAAACUGCCCUGAGCUGGUCUCCUUGCAUUCCCCACCCCAGCCCACCACGGAAGCCUGUUCCUAAGACUGUCUUUAAAAAAAAAACAAAAACAUUUUUAAAAAGACUUUUUGUGUGUGUGCGGUGGUGUUUUGCCUGCAUGUAUGUUUGUGAAGGUGCCAGAUCCCCUGGAAUUGGAGUUAUAGACUGCUGUAAGCUGCCAUGUGGGUGCUGAGAAUUAAACCCAGGUCUUCUGGAAGAGCAGCCAGUGCUCUUAACUGCUGAGCCAUCUCUCCAGUCUCUGCCUGGACUGUCCAAACACACCUGAACCCCACCUCUUUCCACCCUUCUGGUCCCCACCACUCCCUCAGUUCCCACCACAUCUCUCUGCCUAGGCAAUCCCAGGUCCUUUGCACAAGUAGUGCCCGCCCACCCUUUGCAACUGAGCUGAAAAGGCUGGCCCCUCGUGUGGCAUUCCUCUAGCCUGUGAUCUCCACCUCCCAGCCUGAUGGCUCUCUCCUCACCAUGAACCCCAUGCCACCUGCAGAUCAGGUGGAGCACCGCUGUCGAGGCCUUUCACUACCUUCAAGGCUGGGCACAAGCAGGUCACAGGGAACAGAGGUCCGAGCUGCUCCAGUGCCUGAGUGGGGCCCCUGUAGGUGUGCCCCGUGCCUCAGCAGGUCAUCAAAAAGUGAGUCUGAGCUCCUCAUCAGUCCCUGACACCUCCCCUGAGCCACCCACAGCAUCCGAGCAUGUGGCAGCCAGGAAGAGUGACAGGCCAGAAAGAAGGAAGCAAGGGGACCAUGGGCUUGGCUACCUGAGUGCCUCUUGGGAACAGGGUACCAGGGCUCCGUCUGCUGUCACAGGCAGCUGGACCAUAUUCCCAGUGACUCAAGAUAUCCCUAAAGCAAUAACAGUGGAAGCCUCUGGUCAGCAUGGACAGAGUAAGAAAAGCUGAGAUUCUCCCUCAGAAGGAAGCUGAGCUACAGAGACUCUGAGACCAGUCAAGCUGUUGGAAGACGUUUAGCCCAAUUGAGGCACCUGGAAAGGACACUCUGCCACCUGCGGAGCUGCCUGCAGGCUGUGCAGUGUGCUCCGCGUUCCCAGCUUCGAGAGCUGUCACCCAUGCUGGGGUGGGCUUUGGUGAUGCAGCUGUGUUUGAAUCAUUCCUGCUCUUGUGGGUAACCCC